UACGAAGGGGGCUAGCGUUGUUCGGAAUUACUGGGCGUAAAGCGCGCGUAGGCGGUUUUGCAAGCCAGAGGUGAAAUGCCUGAGCUCAACUCGGGAAUUGCCUUUGUAACUGCAAGACUUCGAGGACUGGAGAGGUGAGUGGAAUUCCCAGUGUAGAGGUGAAAUUCGUAGAUAUUGGGAAGAACACCGGUGGCGAAGGCGGCUCACUGGCCAGUUUCUGACGCUGUAGCGCGAAAGCGUGGGGAUCAAACAGG
rnacentral:rRNA from 1 species